AGCGAACGCUGGCGGCAGGCUUAACACAUGCAAGUCGAGCGCCGUAGCAAUACGGAGCGGCAGACGGGUGAGUAACGCGUGGGAACGUGCCUUUUGGUUCGGAACAACACAGGGAAACUUGUGCUAAUACCGGAUAAGCCCUUACGGGGAAAGAUUUAUCGCCAAAAGAUCGGCCCGCGUCUGAUUAGCUAGUUGGUGAGGUAACGGCUCACCAAGGCGACGAUCAGUAGCNGGUCUGAGAGGAUGAUCAGCCACACUGGGACUGAGACACGGCCCAGACUCCUACGGGAGGCAGCAGUGGGGAAUAUUGGACAAUGGGCGCAAGCCUGAUCCAGCCAUGCCGCGUGAGUGAUGAAGGCCCUAGGGUUGUAAAGCUCUUUUGUGCGGGAAGAUAAUGACGGUACCGCAAGAAUAAGCCCCCGGCUAACUUCGUGCCAGCAGCCGCCGUAAU
rnacentral:rRNA from 1 species